GGCGGACGGGUGAGUAACACGUGGAUAACCUGCCCCAAAGUCUGGGAUAACGCGCCGAAAGGUGCGCUAAUACCGGGUACCUUUAUGCCUCACAAGAGGUAUAAAGAAAGGAGGCCUCUGCUUGCAAGCUUCUGCUUUGGGAUGGAUCCGCGGCCUAUCAGGUAGUUGGUAGGGUAAUGGCCUACCAAGCCUACGACGGGUAGCUGGUCUGAGAGGACGAUCAGCCACAUUGGGACUGAGACACGGCCCAGACUCCUACGGGAGGCAGCAGUGGGGAAUAUUGGGCAAUGGGAGAAAUCCUGACCCAGCAACGCCGCGUGGAGGACUAAGGCCUUCGGGUUGUAAACUCCUGUCAGCAGGGAAAAAGGUUAUAAGAGCUAAUACCUUUUAUAGCUUGAUGGUACCUGCAGAGGAAGCACCGGCUAACUACGUGCCAGCAGCCGCGGUAAU
rnacentral:rRNA from 1 species